rnacentral:rRNA from 1 species
UACAGAGGGUGCUAGCGUUGUUCGGAAUGACUGGGCGUAAAGGGCGCGUAGGCGGUUUAUCAAGUCAGAUGUGAAAGCCCCGGGCUUAACCUGGGAACUGCAUUUGAUACUGGUUGACUGGAGUACGAGAGAGGAAGUGGAAUUCCUAGUGUAGAGGUGAAAUUCGUAGAUAUUAGGAGGAACACCAGAGGCGAAGGCGCUUUCGUGGCUCGGUAACUGACGCUGAGACGCGAAAGCGU